GGGACUGCUAGGCUUCUACAUGUUAAUAUCUUCGUAUGAAUCAUAGAGCUUAAAGUUAAAUUGUCCCUUGUUGACAAUAGCUUGCAAAAUAAAUGCAAAAAAUGAAAUAGUAACAUUUUCUCAAAAUUUAGUAUUAGCUUAACUUUGAAUAAGUAGACUCUGCACGAUUUUGAGUAUCAAAUCGUUAAAUAGAUACGCAGAUUUGAUUAUAGAUAGAAUCUAUCGCACUUGAUUCUCAUUAUACUUUUCUUUAUUGAAUCAAGUUAAGUUCUUUAAGUAUUACAUGUUCAAAUCUCUGUAUCUAUAUUAAUUAGUAGAUAAUUCGUAAGAUUUCUAUAUUAACAUGGACGUGGGUUCGAAUCCCACCAGUUCCA
rnacentral:tmRNA from 1 species